CCUUAACCUGGCCUUGACAUACUAAGAACUUUCCAGAGAUGGAUUGGUGCCUUCGGGAACUUAGAUACAGGUGCUGCAUGGCUGUCGUCAGCUCGUGUCGUGAGAUGUUGGGUUAAGUCCCGCAACGAGCGCAACCCUUUUCCUUAUUUGCCAGCGGGUUAAGCCGGGAACUUUAAGGAUACUGCCAGUGACAAACUGGAGGAAGGCGGGGACGACGUCAAGUCAUCAUGGCCCUUACGGCCAGGGCUACACACGUGCUACAAUGGUCGGUACAAAGGGUUGCUACCUCGCGAGAGGAUGCUAAUCUCAAAAAGCCGAUCGUAGUCCGGAUCGCAGUCUGCAACUCGACUGCGUGAAGUCGGAAUCGCUAGUAAUCGCGGAUCAGAAUGCCGCGGUGAAUACGUUCCCGGGCCUUGUACACACCGCCCGUCACACCAUGGGAGUUUGUUGCACCAGAAGUAGGUAGUCUAACCGCAAGGAGGACGCUUACCACGGUGUGGCCGAUGACUGGGGUGAAGUCGUAACAAGGUAGGCGUAGAUGA
rnacentral:rRNA from 1 species